GGUUGUAUAGUGUAGCGGUUAUCACUCCAGAUUUUGAUCGUAUCAAAGCUUCUGGUAACCCCGGUUCGAACCCGGGUACGACCU